CAAAAAGGCGGUCUCUUUGUCCAGACUGAAACCCGUGUGCGCCCCGAAGCAGCAAAUUACACUUCGGAUAUUUGCAGAAUUGAAUUGGUACAUAUUUGGUUGAUGAAUCGUUUUAAAACUAAUCCAUGAAAUUUUGAGUGGAAGAAUACCAAA